UACGGAGGGAGCUAGCGUUGUUCGGAAUUACUGGGCGUAAAGCGCGUGUAGGCGGCCUCCUCAGUCUGGUGUGAAAGCCCGGGGCUCACCCCCGGAAGUGCCUUUGAUACUGAGGAUCUCGAGUCCGGGAGAGGUGAGUGGGACUCCGAGUGUAGAGGUGAAAUGCGUAGAUAUACGGAGGAACACCAGCGGCGAAGGCGGGUAGCUGGGCCAACACUGACGCUGAUGCGCGAAAGCCAGGGGAGCAAACGGG
rnacentral:rRNA from 1 species